GCUACUCAAGGGUGUAUGGUGGAUGGCUUGACAAAACAUGCUGAUGAAGGACGUAGCAGUCUGCGAUAAGCUUCGGUGAGGUGACAAGCAACCUUUGACCCGGAGAUGUCCGAAUGGGGAAACCCGGCUGGGGUAAUGCCCAGUCACUGUGCACUAAAUACAUAGGUGUACAGGAGGCACCCAGGGAAGUGAAACAUCUCAGUACCUGGAGGAAAAGAAAAUAACGAGUACUAUUCUCAUCUUGACGCUCGACCUAGUCGAGAAUCGAGAUGACGAAUAGUUGCUUACAUUCCCAAAGUAGUGGCGAGCGAAAUGGGAUCAGCCUAAACCAACCAAGUGAAAUACGCUGAAGUAUCUCUUCGGAGAUGUGGAUGCGAUAUGAAAGGUAACAGCCGUUGCUUGGUUGGUGUUGUAAGUCCAGAUGUGCACAUCUGUUAAUGUGCGGUAUGUAUAGAUGAUCUUUAGUGGAAUCUUCUGGAAAGAAGAACCAAAGAAGGUGAUAGUCCUGUACGCAAAAAGGAUGCAUCUACAUACGGUCUGGCACUUAAGUACGGCGGGACACGUGAAAUCCUGUCGGAAUCUGCCGCGACUAUGCGGCAAGGCUAAAUACAUGUUUUGAUCGAUAGUGUACUAGUACCGUGAGGGAAAGCUGAAAAGAACCCCGAGAGGGGAGUGAAAUAGAAUCUGAAACCAUAUACCUACAAAGAGUCGGAGCUCUGCCUUCGGGCGGGGUGACGGCGUUCCUAUUGAAGAAUGAGCCAACGAGUUCGUGUCUGUUGCAGGUUAAGUCCUUCGGGAUGGAGCCAAAGUGAAAGCAAGCCUUAACGGGCGUUUGUAUCAGACAUGAGACCCGAAACCGAGUGACCUAACCAUGGCCAGGGUGAAGCCAGUGUAAAAGCUGGUGGAGGCCCGAACCCACGUGCCGUGCAAAACACGGGGAUGAGCUGUGGUUAGCGGAGAAAUUCCAAUCGAACUCGGUAAUAGCUGGUNNNNNNNNNNNNNGCCGAAAAUAUACCGGGGCUAAGUAAUUCACCGAAGCUGAGGGUGUGAUGUUUCUUCGGAAACAUUACGCGGUAGAGGAGCAUUCCUAUUGCGCUGAAGUUGAGUCGUAAGGCUUGGUGGAGCGAUAGGAAGUGAGAAUGUUGGCAUGAGU
rnacentral:rRNA from 1 species